CCUGAAUCAGUGUGUGUGUUAGUGGAAGCGUCUGGAAAGGCGCGCGAUACAGGGUGACAGCCCCGUACACAAAAAUGCACAUGCUGUGAGCUCGAUGAGUAGGGCGGGACACGUGGUAUCCUGUCUGAAUAUGGGGGGACCAUCCUCCAAGGCUAAAUACUCCUGACUGACCGAUAGUGAACCAGUACCGUGAGGGAAAGGCGAAAAGAACCCCGGCGAGGGGAGUGAAAAAGAACCUGAAACCGUGUACGUACAAGCAGUGGGAGCACGCUUAGGCGUGUGACUGCGUACCUUUUGUAUAAUGGGUCAGCGACUUAUAUUCUGUAGCAAGGUUAACCGAAUAGGGGAGCCGAAGGGAAACCGAGUCUUAACUGGGCGUUAAGUUGCAGGGUAUAGACCCGAAACCCGGUGAUCUAGCCAUGGGCAGGUUGAAGGUUGGGUAACACUAACUGGAGGACCGAACCGACUAAUGUUGAAAAAUUAGCGGAUGACUUGUGGCUGGGGGUGAAAGGCCAAUCAAACCGGGAGAUAGCUGGUUCUCCCCGAAAGCUAUUUAGGUAGCGCCUCGUGAAUUCAUCUCCGGGGGUAGAGCACUGUUUCGGCAAGGGGGUCAUCCCGACUUACCAACCCGAUGCAAACUGCGAAUACCGGAGAAUGUUAUCACGGGAGACACACGGCGGGUGCUAACGUCCGUCGUGAAGAGGGAAACAACCCAGACCGCCAGCUAAGGUCCCAAAGUCAUGGUUAAGUGGGAAACGAUGUGGGAAGGCCCAGACAGCCAGGAUGUUGGCUUAGAAGCAGCCAUCAUUUAAAGAAAGCGUAAUAGCUCACUGGUCGAGUCGGCCUGCGCGGAAGAUGUAACGGGGCUAAACCAUGCACCGAAGCUGCGGCAGCGACGCUGAUGCGUUGUUGGGUAGGGGAGCGUUCUGUAAGCCUGCGAAGGUGUGCUGUGAGGCAUGCUGGAGGUAUCAGAAGUGCGAAUGCUGACAUAAGUAACGAUAAAGCGGGUGAAAAGCCCGCUCGCCGGAAGACCAAGGGUUCCUGUCCAACGUUAAUCGGGGCAGGGUGAGUCGACCCCUAAGGCGAGGCCGAAAGGCGUAGUCGAUGGGAAACAGGUUAAUAUUCCUGUACUUGGUGUUACUGCGAAGGGGGGACGGAGAAGGCUAUGUUGGCCGGGCGACGGUUGUCCCGGUUUAAGCGUGUAGGCUGGUUUUCCAGGCAAAUCCGGAAAAUCAAGGCUGAGGCGUGAUGACGAGGCACUACGGUGCUGAAGCAACAAAUGCCCUGCUUCCAGGAAAAGCCUCUAAGCAUCAGGUAACAUCAAAUCGUACCCCAAACCGACACAGGUGGUCAGGUAGAGAAUACCAAGGCGCUUGAGAGAACUCGGGUGAAGGAACUAGGCAAAAUGGUGCCGUAACUUCGGGAGAA
rnacentral:rRNA from 1 species